AGCCUUUAAGUUUAUAGUACAUUAUUAUCGCUGCAGCAGAAACCAUUUUUCAAUGUUUCGUGCUGGAAAAGUGGCUCCAGUGUCGAUUUUCUCUGAUAUUGUAGAACAUUCA